rnacentral:rRNA from 1 species
UACGUAGGGUGCGAGCGUUGUCCGGAUUUAUUGGGCGUAAAGAGCUUGUAGGCGGCUCGUCACGUCGGGUGUGAAAACUUGCGGCUUAACCGCAAGCCUGCACCCGAUACGGGCGGGCUAGAGUUCGGCAGGGGAGACUGGAAUUCCUGGUGUAGCGGUGGAAUGCGCAGAUAUCAGGAGGAACACCGGUGGCGAAGGCGGGUCUCUAGGCCGACACUGACGCUGAGGAGCGAAAGCGUGGGGAGCGAACAGG